rnacentral:misc_RNA from 1 species
GGGUUCUUCUCUUCAGCAACCUGUUUGGGUUAAGGGAUCGGCUUUCCCUUUAAAGGGUGAAGUGAAACUUAAUGGGGUCAGAUUAUGGUUUGUUAAGCCUUGCAAAGCCUCUCAACUUGAUGGGAGCUUGGUUUCAGGAAGGCCUCCUUCUUCUGUUUCUGUUCCUAUCCCAGAAAUGGGAGGUGCUGGGAACAACUUUGUAGAUUAUGGAUUGGGUGAAGCUGAUCCUGAAGUCCGUGGUAUUAUUGACAAAGAGAAGGAACGCCAAUUUCGUAGCUUAGAGCUUAUUGCCUCUGAGAAUUUCACAUCUCGAGCAGUGAUGGAGGCGGUGGGUUCUUGCCUUACAAACAAAUACUCCGAAGGACUACCAGGCAAAAGAUAUUAUGGUGGAAACGAGUACAUUGACGAGUUAGAAAUACUCUGUCAAGAGAGGGCUUUGGCAGCCUUUAACUUAGAUGGGAAACAGUGGGGUGUCAAUGUUCAACCCCUAUCUGGUUCUCCAGCAAAUUUUGAAGUCUACACAGCAGUUCUCA